AUGGCCCUCAUUGUUGUUUGGAAACAUUUCUGCUCUUCGCUUCAACAAUGCGCUCCUUUUUUUGUGAAGAGCAAUGCACUCAUUGAUGCUACUUUGUUAACAUGUCUUCGUUGGGUCUUGUUUCUUAUUUUUAUAACUACGGAUUUAGCAAGAGACUUUUUUGCCUCUGUAUUUUCACCAUACUUCCAUUUCAUAUUUUUAUUAGUGCAGUUUCUGAAUUAUUAUCCAGUGCCUUUUGGAGCUCGAGCUCCAUGGGACCCGAUAUUUGUACAUAUUUCAACCUGUUUUUUCUUGGAAGGUAAUCAUACGCUGAUGGGGAGGGUGUACCUAUUUUUUCAUCAAUUUGCCUUCUUUUGCUCUCCUAUUACCAUUCCCCUUUAG
rnacentral:rRNA from 1 species